GGACAGGCCCAGAUCACCAACCUGGUGCAAAAUCAGAUAUGAGAAUUUGAUUUUUUGAUAGAUUGAUUCUGCAUUAGUGAUGCAAGAUUUUCUAGAUAUUUUAGGACUAGCUGUUUAAGGGAAAAAAAAUAUAGAAAGUAGUCUUUUUAUUAUUUAAGAAUUUUAUGUUGGUUUGGAAUUCCUAAUUAUAAUUUGCUUUGCAUUUUCUUAUUUAGGGUUCAAAUUCCUGAUACUAAUAGAAUAAUAAUUCUACUACAAACACAUCAGUUCAUAUAUUUUGAUAGACCUUUUCUCUAUAAUUAAUUCGAAUUUAUCCGCAUAAAAUUGAAAAGGAAGUUAUGA
rnacentral:misc_RNA from 1 species